rnacentral:sRNA from 1 species
GGUGAUUAGUGACAGAGUGAGGGAGGGGGUGACUAGUGACAGAGGGAGGGGUAACACAGUGACCGAGUAAGGGGGUGACUAGUGACAGAGUGAGGGAGCGGGUGACACAGUGACAGAGUUAGGGAGGGAGUAACUAGUGACAGAGAGAGGGAUGGGGUGACUAGUGACAGUCACCCCCCCUCACUCUGUCACCAGUCAUCCCCUCACUCUGUCACUAGUCACCCCUUCCCUCCCUCACUCUGCCACUAGUCACCCAUUCCCUCACUCUGUCACUAGUCUCCCAUUCCCUCACCUCACUGUCCCCCACCCUAGUCUCCCCCUCUCCUUCCCUCUGUCACUAGUCACCCACUCCCUCACUCUGUCACCAGUCACCCCCACUCACUGUGUCUCCCCCUCACUCUGCCAC